AGGCAGGUCCUCCUUAACAAUCUUUCUCUGUACUGCAAGGACAAUAGGUAGGCCCACAGGCCUGGAUGGUACCCCACACACACCGAGAGCACAUUCAUAGACACACUCCCAGUGUUGCUUUUCUUUUUCGAUCCAUUCACAGAUGUUAACCGGGAUUCCAAAAACCACUGAACGCAGGCUGGUCCAAACCAGGUCUUCUACCGGACUACUCGGCCAAAAGAGAAAAUGCUUAUUUCUGCAAGCAAUAUGAGAUAACAUUCUGGAACAAAGUGGAGAGGCAGAUUUCCAGGGGUGCUUCAGUAUUCCGAGCUUUCCACUGAGGAAGCUAGGCAGGUGUGCAAGGCUGCCCUCUGCCCCAGAAGCAGAACGAUCCUCGCUGCCUGUCUAUCUGGCUGGAUUGCCCAGCACACCGAGACAUCACUGAUGACACUACUGCCUGUUGGCAAGAUGGACUUCCCCAAAGAUGGGUCUGAUGGACCUACGUAGCACGUUAUGCCUACCUGAGCAAAUGGUGUCACAAUCAAGUCAUCUCCAUGUCUGAAAAAGAACCAAACAACAAAUGUCAAUAUCAGGUGGGAGGGAUGGCUUUUCUCACCGUGGAUGUUCUACAAAUCCCAGCUAAAAGAUCAGCCCACAAAUGACAAUCUUCUAAAUGGUUGCCGUUAACCUCACUGCUAGUUGCUUCCUCACCCUGUAUUCAUUCCAGCUCUGUGAUCUGCAGGCCAGAACUUAUUGUAUCUGUAGCCUAGUAACCUGAAGAUGGUCAAGUGCCCAUGACUCUACUAACUCAACUUAUUUAGACUGGAGCACAGCUGUAGAUACGACGGGUGAGCAAAGAUUCAAUCCUCAGGGUUGGGUUGCCUCACCCUUUAACUCCAACUGAAUCGUGUAGCAUUAGAGUUAACCAGGCAUGCCCUGGAAGCUGGUAGCAUCCACAAUUACUUUUUAUUGGGGAGGCCAGCCUAUUUAAACACUGCACGUAAUUUGCAUUAAGUGUUACUAACAGAUAAUAAUUUGUGAGAAUUGGACAAGCUAGUAACUGCAGAUAACAGGGAACUGUUUCAUAGGCUAAUAAAAACCAAGUAAAACUUCUCAACUGACUCACAUGACCACAGUGUUACCAAGUGUGUGCUGUUGCUGGAGCAACCAGACCCAGAUCACACUGUGACGUAGGCAUAAAGCAUCAGGGUGAUGUGUCUAUGUGGGUGAGGGGGAAGAGCAAGUAGAUCAUCAUCACCAAUGCGGGGAGCAGGGGGGACCCUUCUGUGGAGUCCAAAGUAUUUAUCACUCGCACCAAAAUAAAAUUUCAUGGUCACGCAAAAGUUAAACACAUGUAGACAUGGAUAACAUGUGACAUCUAGCACUAAGUUACCACUGAAUAACCUGAGGAGGAUGAAGUCUAGAGAGAGGAUAUAAUAUAGAACAUCAUUCUUUUUUAAUUGAAAUGUUCACAAGGAGUGAGAGCAAACAGCCACACCAACCUCUGCAACACAUUCUCACAAAAUCUAUAUCAACUCUCAGUUGAAAACAAAUAAUUUCCUCCAAAAUAUGCCUUGGGAACUCUAAUGUAAAGAUAAAGACUUCAGUUCUGUGCCAAGUUGGGGUCUUGGGGUCCAAUUUAAGGAGUAGUUAAUUACCUUUAAAGCCCUAAACAGUUUAUGAUUCAGAUAUCUUGAGGACUGCGUAUGCCCAAGUGAUUCUACCUGCCCAACAAGGUCUGCUAGGGGGCCUCUACUCUGCAUGUGGAUCCCUUUGGAGGUUUGACUAUUCUACACUGGUGUGACAGGGUCUUCUCUAUGGAUGCUCCCAGGUCAUGACAUUCUCUUUCUGGCAAGAUCUGUUCCCUCAUCUCUCUCCUUGCCUUCUGAAGGCAACUGUUUUGUUCAGGCGCACUUUGGAUAAUAGAUCUGUUGUAUGCCUUCGUUAUAUGUUUUAAUGUGUGUUUUUAUGGAGUUUUUGAAUAGUAUUUUAAUUAUGUUUUUACAUUUUAAAUCAAUUAUAUAUUGGCUUGUUUUAUUGAGUUUAUUAAUAUUAAUAUUAUUAUUAUUAUUAUUAAUUCGAUUUCUAUACCGCACUUCCAAAAUUGGCUCAGGGCGGUUUACAAAGAGAAAUAAAACAAAUAAGAUGGCUCCCUGUCCCCAAAGGGCUCACAUUCUAAAAAGAAACAUAGGACACACACCAGCAACAGUCACUGGAAGUACUGUGCUGGGGGUGGAUAGGGCCAGUUACUCUCCCCCUGCUAAAU